rnacentral:misc_RNA from 1 species
AAAGGAUCCUUCAAAUGUUUGCUUUUCCCAGAAUGAUUAAAACAUUCGAGUUUUCCAAAACACAAAUUUGAUGCGACAAGAGAAUGAAAAAUACACAUUAAGCAUAAAGAUUACUUCCAUAGAAAGUAACCUGUUAGGAAGUAAAAAAUCAGAAAAAACAACAAUAACCAAUGAUACCACAGUAAUCCGAGCAUCGAUAGCCAAAAUUGGUACACGUCCACCAAAGAGAACAAGAGGACAGAGAAAAGAUGAUUCGGUUUAUCAGUAUAUCGAAUAAGAGAAGUGUACUCCAAUCAAGAGGUUCUAGUUAUAUUGCAAUGGAGAAGAGAGUUCCAGAGUCUUUCAUCAGUGACCCGUCAUUGACA